rnacentral:tRNA from 1 species
GGGCUGGUAGCUCAGUUGGUAGAGCAGUCGGCUCUUAACCGAAAGCGCGUGGGUUCGAUCCCACCCAGCCCA